CUCCUCCGCGACGAAGGAGCGCCACGACCCCUGUAGGGCGUCUUUCGUGAAGUGCGGACGAUACCGAAUCGUAUAAUCCUUAGGAAGGCUUCCCCAAAAACUUCAGCAUGCACAACAUCCGUAAUAUAUUCAGGAGCGUCAACGGUAAAGAUAGAUUUCCGAAUGAAACCGAGCCACCAAAGAAGAAUCCAACUACAUACGCCCCUCAUAUACACUUUGCAUUAGAGGAGGGACGUCACACACUAUCAUCGUUUGACGGUCGGUUACCAACACGAUAGGUUUUCCAUGAAGGCAAAAACAAAACCGGCCAAAAUCGAUGGCCCGGUAUGGAAGAGAUGCGGAAUUCGUCAGUUGGCCGCGGAAAAGCAGGGAGCCUGACAAAGAACUCACAUCGAUCACCACUCACAUGCCGCCACGGCCGCAACCCAACAAAGCCCUUUGCCUUCCCCCCCACGCCG
rnacentral:misc_RNA from 1 species